rnacentral:lncRNA from 1 species
UUUAUGUUUUUUUUUUCUGGUGUUUGUGUGGUGUAUGAUUGGAUUUGGAAAUAAAGUUUACAACUUUGGAGAAUUCUUCUUUCGGAAUGAAAUUGUUUCCAGGUUGUUGAAGUUUCAUGUUAAAAAAACUUGUUCCAUUUGCUUGUUCUUGUUAAAUAACUUGAAGUUUUGAGGUUCUUAUUCCAUUUGCUUUUAAGGAAGAUGAUAACUUUGUUAAAGGAGAAAGGAAAUAGAGAAUAA